UUGGAAUGCAGCGGGGUACUUGGAAGAUAGAUCUCGGGAACUUAGACUGAACUUUUUCAAGAGGAAGAAAUGACCUAUGAGGGUCCACCUGGACUCCAAGAGGAGCUGAGCUCAGAUCUUGGCCAAGAACACUCUGAGUGCUGUGGACCAGCCGGGUAGGCACUUCCUCUGCUACCUCUGCUAUCAUGAUCAUCCCCAGUUGCUCCAUAUUCCACCACAUCCUGUCUGGAGAAAGGAUGCUCAGAGUGAGGCAGAAGGGCGGCAUCCAACACCGUAAUCAGCUGCUCGUGCCAGCGAUGGGCUCCUCCAACCCAACCUCACUCCACAGCUGCUUUGCCGAAGCCCUUGUGCUACAAGUGAGAAGUACUGAGUGCCCUCAUUUCAAAGAAGCUAAGAGGAAUGGUGCUAGCUUCCUUCACCAGAUGGAACUAUCACAGGUCUUGGACUUCAAUCCUAUAGUCCUCAAGAAAGUCCUCCAUGACCAAAGAGUACCUUAGAUUUCCCCUUCUAAUGUGGAAGGAAAACACUAAUAUCAGAUGCCUCUUCUAUCAGCUUCAUCUGCCAAACCAAGCCACCUCCAAAGAGAAAAGAGUCAGACUAUUGAUUUUCUACUCCGUUGAUUACUGUUCAAUUGGAAAUGCUGCGUGAACAGAAAAUGGGUGCAUGAAUGAAUAAAUUAAAUUUAUAUUCAGCAGAAAGCUGGCACGAUAUAUUUUCAGUUUAUGUUUAAUUGGUUGGUAUGUCUUCUAUUAUUUUAAAUUGUACCUUGUCUUGAGGACCCCAAUGGGCAAAGAUAAUCUGUAUUUGAAAUAAAUACACAAAUUAGAAACAGUAGAACUAUAUCAGGAUAUUUUACACAUCUAGUUUAAGAUGAGUUGUCUGCUGAAGCCUAUUCCAGUUGGGUGCCACUAUGCUUUUUCUAAUUUAGAAGCAUCAAAUUAUGAUUUUAAUUAAUUUGUUCUAUACCAAAAUUAUACUUCACUUUUUCUCUUUGUUAUUGUUGGGUCAUCUGAACUAUGUUGGCUGGAUAGAGGGGCUACCUUCAACCUGCUUGAACUGUUUUUUAUUCUGAAGUAUUUCAAGGCGUUAGGAUUAUUGUA